UGUUUCACCUAUACAUUAUUGGCUCAUAAUACCUUAGAGAUGAAACAUAUAAUAAUAUCCAUAACAACCGCAGGGCAUUGUUAGCGGGCAUUAUAGUAUAACGCCCGCUUAUAAUGCCCGCUCUUAAUGCCCGCUAAGUUAAUUUUUAUAAAAUUGUUAUUCUCUCGCGUUGACAUUUUUCAAGUUUAAACCACAAAAAACAACUGAAUAAAAACAAAUACCCGUGAACUAAACUUUAUCUCCAAAAUAAAAAUUACAAUUUUCAAACGUCCCCGUUUCAAAUGUUCCCGUGAAGAUACUGAACUCGCAAUCAUUUCAGCAACCUUGUUUUUUGAAAAGAGUUUCAAACGAAGCUCCUGCAUCCACAAGAAGAGUGGCAGUACGCACGUACGCCGCAGACAGUGGCCGGUGUAAGCAUCUGCAUUGUCUAAUUUCAAGUACUUUGCUAUAGUUCCAGGUACACUUCCAAUAGUAUUUUUACCCACUGGUUGUACUGUACAGCGACUAUUUCUAUACGUAAGAAAGAA